rnacentral:rRNA from 1 species
UUAGGGGUUUCUGGUUUUUCAAGAAAUGAAUUUAAUUCAUACGUCUUAUUUAGAGUUUUAUUAUUUGUUUAUUCAUUUUUAUUUGGCGUUAAGAUUGGGAGGGAUUAGCUUCUUAUUUUAUUUUUAUAAUUUUUUGUUUAUUUAAUCUUGUGGGUUUUAUAGUGAUUUUCAAUUUGAUUAUGUUAAAAUUUUAUUUGUUUUGUUCUUUAUUUUUGUUUAUUUAAUUAUUUAUUGAAAUGUGUUCUUUAUCUUGUUUUGGUUAGUAAUUAUUGUAGAAUUAGUAAAUUUGUUGUUAGGUUGUUUUAUUUGUGUUAAUUUUCUUUGAGGAACUAGGCAAAUUUCGUGUCCGCCUGUUUAACAAAAACAUCUUUUCUUGUUAGUUUUUGAAGUAUGGCCUGCCCGCUGACUUUAGUGUUGAAGGGCCGCGGUAUUUUGACCGUGCAAAGGUAGCAUAGUCAUUAGUUCUUUAAUUGUGAUCUGGUAUGAAUGGCUUGACGAGGCAUGGGCUGUCUUAAUUUUGAAUUGUUUAUUGAAUUUGGUCUUUGAGUUAAAAUUCUUAGAUGUUUUUAUGGGACGAGAAGACCCUAUAGAGUUUAACAUUUAUUAUGGUCCUUUUUCUGUUUGUGAGGGUUCACUGGGCCGUCUAAUAUGUUUUGUUGGGGUGAUGGGAGGGAUAUAAUUUAA